AAGAACAAACACUUCUGUUUUGGGACCCGGUGCUUGCUUCAAGAAAUGAAUGUUCCAGGCUGCUUACCAGCAAAUGAUGAUACUGCCAGUCUUGCCAAGAGUACGUCUUUCAAUGACCUGUGAAGAUCCGGAUUGCCACAUUGAUGAUCCAUAGAGAAGAUGGUAUUGGUUGGAUACUAUAGCUAUUUGCCUGAAGAAGCAAUCAACAGCAAUGCUGAACGUGAGCAGAUAAGGCCUAAAGAGAUUAAACAUGCACUGAUAUCGUUAAAUAAUCACGAGUCCGACCUCUCCAGAGCUGCACAUUAACAGUCUCCCUGCAGCCAACACAGCAACGUGCAGUUUCAUCUGAGGAUUGAAGUGAUAUCUUUUCACCACAGACUUCCCUUCUGACCCAAGCAUCUUCCUUCCAGUUUUCCUUCAGACUUCCCUCCCCAACUGGGUAUCUGCUCCAAGUCAAAUUCAGCGAAUGCUAAGCUCCCCAGCACUGUUGCUAGGGCUGGAAGUCAGACCUGUCUGCAAGAGAAAGAAAAAGAGCUCUUGGUAGCACACGUUCAAGGUCUCCUCUCUCCCCCCCAUAUUCCCUUUCCGACCGUGCCAAUUCCUUUGGAGUUUACGCCUAGGACGCAGCGGCAUUUCAUUUCGCGAGGCUCCUAAGCGAAUGACGCACAGCAGCUCACCGUCAAGGGAGCGCUGAAAUGAAACGGUAACAACAGCCUUUUGUGAUGGUUAUUUGUAGGAGCGCCGCUUCCAAGGAUUUAAUUUACAACCUGACUCCGCAAACAUUUGCACUGGCCGAACAGAGAGGCUGCAAACACAGGCCGGCGCAGGAAAACCUUUAGUCUGCUGAGCUGGCACGCUGAGACAACGCUCCUCCGCAGCUGUGGUGCCCCCAAAACACGGGCGCGUCCCGCUCGCCCCGGUGCCGUACGCCACCUGCACCGCGUUCCGCUGGAGCUGGCAACCGUGCCGAGGGUAAUGCUACGAGCGUCGCAGGGCACCGGUGCUGCUGAGGAACCGGAGAAAGCUCAAACGCCUCGAGCGGUCCACAAAUCCCAGGUCACACCCAAGCUGAGAGCACAGAAACACCACUAGAUGCAAGGCAGAAGUGCCAAGCUCUAGAAGACCAUCCUUACAGGAGAGAGCUGGCAUUUGUCUAGACAAGUCAUCAGCAUUAAUGUCUCCAUAUCAGUGACACUCUAGACUAUUGCCUAGUCAUUCCCUCAUCUGGACAUUUGCCCUUGCCUCUAUCUGUACUUUGCUUUGGAUAAUCAGCAAGAGCAGAUCCUCCUCUGUGCAGCCUUAGGAUAUUCAAGGGCAAAGCUGUACAAAGACCGUUCCAGUUCUGCAAGUCUGUAUUCUUGCCUACAAGCACGUAAGAUAGGAUUAUAGCAAUAAUCCGUUAUCGCAAAGAGAAAGAUUUUAUUCCUCUUAAGAGAAAAUGGAAGCUACUGAUAGAACUGCGUGGAGUCAUUCUGCCCACUUCACAGAGCUAUUUGUACUCUCAUUUCCAGAGACAUGAUUUAACGCUGAAGCAGAGGGGGGAGGAGGACUGUAGGGAGAAGCAGUGCAGCUGCUGACUAAAUAUUUUGCUUGUCAGCAGCCACACAAGGGCUCUCGCCGCUGCAGGAUCGUCUCCAGCAGAAGAGCCCGGCUCCCUGCGGCAUAGCGAACGCGCCCCCGGUUUUCGAGCCGCUGAGUUUCGUGCAUCAGGCCCUUGUCAAUCAGGUCCGUCUGCUGUGCAACAACUCCUCGCGUGAAUGAUGGCUAGAAGAUAAUCCGAACAAUUAAAAACCAGGAACAGAAAUAAAAGCGCUUCAGCGCCAGAUGCCGAACCCUGGCUCCCCGUUUCCUGCUGGGCAUGUGGCCUGGCCGGGGCUCGUCUCAUCUGUCAGCCCCCCGACGGGCAGGCGGUUGUCCAGCCUCCCCUGUCACUCCCGGAGAGAGGCAGCACCUCCAGGCGAUAUUUUAGGCUGGUUUGGCCAUGCUCUGGAGGCGCCACUCAUUCUGUCUUGACUAUAAAGGAUCCUUGUUUGCGGCUUUGUCAACUUCUAGGUGUUUGAAGUUAAGUGAAAUCAAUCUUCCAAACCACGUCUAAGACAAAAAUUUCUAGUUAGAGCUCAAAUGCAAGUGAUACUCUAUUUUCUAAAAGGAAAUACAUUCAUAAGCACAUUUUUGUCCCGCUUGAUCAUCUCAUCCUAGCUGUACAGUUGAUCGAAGGCAUCUCUGAUGGCUAUGGCUUAGAGAAAUCUCUAGUCAGGCUUUACUCUAAAAUAUGAUCUUCAGGAAUUUUCAUCCCAAGUUGAGAACUGAGCUACGUUCCAGAGAAGCUACCAUCAUUAAAAAGCAAAAGCUGACUUCUAAACGUAGAGAAGUUAAACUUAAUAGUGAUGAGGUGAUAAAGCACAAGCAAAAGAAAUAUCAUGAACAAACAUUUAGGUAGCUGGACCGCAUUCAAGGAGGAAAGAGAAAGGAAGCGAACGUUGUAAACAAUUGCUGUGCUUGCGGGAAAGCACCGUCUCGUAGAGACUGGACUCAAAGAUUUGGAAGACUUUGAAGCGUUUCUGCGUAUCGAAGCGAAGGCCACUUCACUUUGUCCCAAUGUGCUUUGGUGAACGACUGACCCAUUCGUUUUAACUCUACCUGACUUUUCUUUCCCACAAAACCAGGCUCUUGGGGGCUUCAAGUGAACUUUAAACUCUUAGAAUAUUUCCAGGCAGGGAGCAAAAAGGUUCCAAGUUCAGCCGAAACUAGUUGUACUAUAAAUGUAACUGUUUCCACUUAGUGUCACCCCCCUCCAGCCCCGUCCCCUCUGGUACCUAUUCUGAACGCUCUCAUGGGAGAGCGGUCGGGACGGAGGAAUUCCAAGUGCCCAGAAGCCAUGGGAGCGAGCGCUGCGGCCCUGCAGCCAUGCCAGCCGAGGAAGAGUGCGUCGGUUCAAAGCCAGACAACUAUUUUGAGCUCUUGUGGGAACCAAGCUUGAUCCAAUAAAUAUUCAAAGUUAUCACAAGCGAA